GACGAACGCUGGCGGCGUGCUUAACACAUGCAAGUCGAACGGAAAGGCCCUGCUUUUGUGGGGUGCUCGAGUGGCGAACGGGGGAGUAACACGUGAGUAACCUGCCCUUGACUUUGGGAGAACUUCAGGAAACUGGGGCUAAUACCGUAUAGGAGCUCCUGCUGCAUGGUGGGGGGUGGAAAGUUUCGGCGGUUGGGGAUGGACUCGCGGCUUAUCAGCUUGUUGGUGGGGUAGUGGCUUACCAAGGGUUUGACGGGUAGCCGGCCUGGGAGGGUGACCGGCCACAUUGGGACUGCGAUACGGACCAGACUCCUACGGUAGGCAGCAGUGGGGAAUAUUGCACAAUGGGCGGAAGCCUGAUGCAGCAACGCCGCGUGCGGGAUGCCGGCCUUCGGGUUGUAAACCGCUUUCGCCUGUGACGAAGCGUGAGUGACGGUAAUGGGUAAAGAAGCACCGGCUAACUACGUG
rnacentral:rRNA from 1 species